CACGUGUGCAACUCUGGGGUGAAAGACACCAGCUUCUUCUGCAGAUUACCUGUAUCAUUUGGGUUUGAAGCAUAUUCUGAUGUGUCUUUGUGAAUACCAGUUUAUUCUCAAGGAUUUUAGGUUGUCUUUUCUUUUCUUUUUUUUUUUUUUCUAUUUCGUUUAGAGCUUUUCUUCCUGAUGGCUUAUCUACCGAUCAAAGCAACUUCUACCUCACCAGCAGAUACAGAGGCAACUUCUUCCAUAGAUUUCUUCACCAGUUUUCCUUAGCUGUCUCCUUGGAACAUUUGAAAUCCUCUGGUUCUUUGGCACCCAAAUAUGAAGGUCAUUUCAUCAAAGGCCUAAAAUUUUCAUAGAGAGGAUUUGAGAAAGGUGAUCUCAAUAAAAUACAAAAAAAAAAAGGAAGAAAAGCUACAGUAAAAGAAAUAUUGCUACUUAUAUAUGCAAACGAAGACUGAGGACAACUAUUAUCAGCUUUCUACUCUUAAGAAUUAUUUAAGUUGCUACUCCUACUUCUACAUUUGGACAUUGGUUUACCAUGCCAUUUUUCCUUAUAUAUAUUUAAAAAAUCUCUUAAAAAUUAAAAUGGUAGUAUGCAUGUUUUCAGGCCAAAUAUAUAUUUCCAAACUGUUCUAAAUUUGUUACUACUGUGUUUUUACUCCUGAGUAAUCAAUAACAUUGAGUAAUAAAGACAGAAUUAUUUAUGUAUAAAUAAAAAUUCUCAUGAGAAUUUUUGUCUAUUUUUCCUUUUCUGAGUUGAAAAGCAGCCAUUUUCAACAUAGCUAAUUGUUGCUACAGUAUCAUUUUAAAUUAAUGUGGUACAGUGUAUGCUGAAAUAGCAGUGGAAAAAUAUUUAAGUUUUAACAAUGCUCUACUCAGGUAAAUAUCCCUGCAGGAAUCAAAAUUAAUAAAUAUUAUCUUCAGUAUACAUAAUACAAUAUAAUAUCUUUAAUAGGAGUUGCCAUUUUACUGAAUAUCUUCCAUUUGAUGUUUGUGAAAAGUUUGUUCAUUGACAUAGCUCAAUAAUAUUCCAUUUUACAAAUAUACCACAAUUAAUUAACCUAUCCUUCUGUAGAUAGACAUAUGGGUUUCUUUCCUUAUUAUACAUCAUAUUAAACUUUUAUAUUAUGAACAGUUCAUUGAAUCUAUUGAUCCAUUUGUGGAGAAUUUAUAUCUUUAUGAUAUUGAUUUUUCUUCCUAGAGGUAUAAUAUGCCUUUCCAUUUAUUUGAAUCAUUUUUAAUGUUUUAAAAUUUAGAUACAUUUAAUUAAUGUGUGUGUAUCUGUAUGUAAGCUUACUGCAAUGCUAAACAGGUAAAUAUUCAGAACACUCUGUAAAAAAAAAAAAAAGUUGAACUUCCACCUUAAUUACUGACUUUUUUUUAAUUAAUUGUAAGCAGAAAUGGGAUACUGUUUUCUCUGCCACAUUUCUGUCACCUGUGGUCAUAAUCCCUCGAGCUGUAUAAGGGAAGUUGUCUGUUCAAAUCAUGCAGUGUUCUUAUGUCACAAACCAAAACCUGAGUCUAUUAUGCUGAGCUAAUCUGCUUUGACCUGGGUAAUUUCCAUCCUGGGUUGAUCUGAUCUGCCAGGAGGUUUGGCCGUCAGAUUUUGGUGACUUCUGCUCCUCAGAGAAUUCUCAGAAUCCCAAAUUGCACCCCAUCUCACUAAGAGUGUGGAGAGGAAAAGACAGAAGGAUAGAAAAAGAGAAGGAGGAGGAAAAGGAAGUAUCUAUCUACAUGUUUAUAUCUAUACCUUUAUUUAUACUCACAGUAAAGGACAUUUGUCAGAAUAGCCCCCAAACACUAUUGCCGCACCAACAUCUAUUAAAAUAUAAACCAUCUUUAAUAAAUACUGAGCUGUGUAAAUAUUUAUUUGCAUGCAAAAGAAAAGCUCUUUAGUAUUCUUAAGCCAGACUGAGCAGUCAACAGAUGAUUUUGAUAAAUGUCUGUUCAUUACCUGAACAUUUCCAUUGCAAUAUAAAACAAAGAUUUCAUCUACAUUUUAUUUUUGCUCCAUGAAUGGUUCCACACUUUCUAAUCAGUGUUAUUUUUAAGAUUAAAUUUGGAUAGUAAUGUAAAUAU
rnacentral:lncRNA from 1 species